rnacentral:rRNA from 1 species
AUUGAACGCUGGCGGCAGGCCUAACACAUGCAAGUCGAGCGGCAGCGGGAAGUAGCUUGCUACUUUGCCGGCGAGCGGCGGACGGGUGAGUAAUGUCUGGGAAACUGCCUGAUGGAGGGGGAUAACUACUGGAAACGGUAGCUAAUACCGCAUAACGUCGCAAGACCAAAGAGGGGGACCUUCGGGCCUCUUGCUAUCAGAUGUGCCCAGAUGGGAUUAGCUAGUAGGUGGGGUAAUGGCUCACCUAGGCGACGAUCCCUAGCUGGUCUGAGAGGAUGACCAGCCACACUGGAACUGAGACACGGUCCAGACUCCUACGGGAGGCAGCAGUGGGGAAUAUUGCACAAUGGGCGCAAGCCUGAUGCAGCCAUGCCGCGUGUAUGAAGAAGGCCUUCGGGUUGUAAAGUACUUCCAGCGGGGAGGAAGGUGCUGAGGUUAAUAACCUCAGCAAUUGACGUUACCCGCAGAAGAAGCACCGGCUAACUCCGUGCCAGCAGCCGCCGCAG